AUUGAACGCUGGCGGCACGCCUAACACAUGCAAGUCGAGCGGUAACGGGAUUUGUAGCGAUACAGAUUGCUGACGAGCGGCGGACGGGUGAGGAAUACGUAGGAACUUACCCAAGAGAGGGGGAUAACCAAGGGAAACUUUGGCUAAUACCGCAUAUAUUCGAGAGAAGAAAGAUGCCUGAAAGGGUGUUGCUCUUGGAGAGGCCUGCGACCGAUUAGCUAGUUGGAAGGGUAAAAGCCUCCCAAGGCGAUGAUCGGUAACUGGUCUGAGAGGACGACCAGUCACACUGGGACUGAGACACGGCCCAGACUCCUACGGGAGGCAGCAGUGGGGAAUAUUGGACAAUGGGGGCAACCCUGAUUCAGCGAUGCCGCGUGAGUGAAGAAGGCCUUCGGGUCGUAAAGCUCUUUAGGUUGGGACGAAGGGUGAGCGGGGAAAAUCUGCUCACUUUGACGGUACUGACAGAAUAAGCACCGGCAAACUCUGUGCCAGCAGCCGCGGUAA
rnacentral:rRNA from 1 species